AUUUGCAACUUGCAAGUUGUACCGAAUUCCGCAGAACCGGAGGAAGACGAGCCGAUCCGGAUCCGUAUCCGAACCCGAAUCGCGAAACCGGUCGCGCGACGACCAUGUUCGGCCGGAGCCGGUUCCUGUCGUUCCCGACGGUGAUCGGAGCCGUCGUGAUUGGAGUUGUCUCUGGCAAAGCAAUAUUUGGACCACCUCUUGAUGAGUACUGGAAAAAGAAGCAUGAGGAAGAGGCAGCUGUGAAGGGAACUGAUAGCAGCUCAUCUUAGCUUGCACCAUGUUAUAUUGCAUCCAGGGAAGCUGAACAACUAGAGGUUGAAGAGCUUUCCAGGUGCUGGCCGACCUUUUAGUUGGCUGGAUUAUCGGAUGAUUCUUCAGCAAGUCACAGGAAAUGACCUGGAGCUAAGAACGGGUAGAGGAUACAUGACUUCAUUUAAUCUUAACCCACUGCGAGUGUCUGAAGAUUGUUUCAUUCUCAAGGACAGCAAUUGUCGGUGCUAUUUUGCAUUGAUGCACUUCCUAAGCUGCAUUGGGACGGACUUACUGAACUGGUGGUGUGGAAGUGUAGAGUUUCUUAGUGGGAAUUGAUCUUGAAUGAAAUUGACUCAAGCUGUGUGAUGAAAAGUACCUUCCAACGUGUACUAUUUGAAUAUUGGAGGUUGCCUCCAGUGAUUGUAGUUUCCAUAUUUUGGUGAUAAAGCAAGCGGAUGCAGGUUCAGCCAAACUAUUACGGUAUCGUCAGGCAUAAUAUGACCUGAAGAGAGUCUAUAGGUA